GGGAGACAGCAGGAAAUCUUAGUUAUGGAUAUAAUGUAGUAGGACCGCUGGAAGCUACGGCGAAAGGGGGGGUAGACAUUUAUGUUUAUAACAUUGGUCGAAUAAUGUAGCUAUUUCAUCGCUACAAUUAGACUAUAGAACGUAGCCUACUAAGCGAAGCAAGCCCGAUGAGUUAUUCCAGGUGAGUUUUCGGGGAAAGUGUCGCUGUGGCCGCUCACCUCCUGGCAAGGCUACACGGGGGUCCUCCUCCCGGGGACAUCUCAGUCCAGUAUCCGCUCUACCUACCUCUGUCCCCGAAGGAUGGCCACAAAACCCAGCGUACCCGGUCUGACAAGGAAAGAUCGUUUCUUCUCAUCAACGGUGUGUGUUUGGCUGCAGUGACCUGUGAGGGUGUUGCCAGUGACAGAGCAAGGAUCAACUCCUGCCUUCAGCCUGUCUUUGUCUGAGUGGGAGGAGUCAGGGUUCAAAGGUUGUGACUCUGAGGACCCCCGGGCUGUAUUUCCAUAUGAGGCCCUGCUGAGGGGGCUGGGGACCAACCGAGGUUUUGGAGUAACACACGUUUCUCUUCCCGUUGCAGGGAUGGCCACAUCUAUAUCAUGACAAUGAUGGACAUGAGUGCCCAAGGGCUGUGAGAGCCCCUUGGGGAAACUUCAUGCACAAACCCACUCUCUUCCUCACACAGAAACACACACUCUCUCUGACACACACACAGUCUUAUUGAGACACACUCACUCACACACACACAGAGCAUGUUGGAGGUCCAGGAGGAAAGGCCUGCCACAGCAGGAGGGACGGCAGCAACACACUUCAGCAAGAAAGAGCGAGGGAAGAAGGAACGAGAGGAGGCCAAGGACAGCCGGGGGAAUCUUGGGAAUAUCGGGAUCAGUAUUCCAGGUUCGGGUGGCCGAGGGAACGGCGGGGGAAAGCCCCUCACACACACACAGGCAGCCCCCACCAGCUCAUCACCCCACCCUGCUCUGUGGUGCUGGGAGCCCCCUCCAUUCAUCACAACAGACUGAAGAACUCCCCAUCCACCAACACACAGAGCUGUGUGUGUCAGUAGGGUGUGGUAUGGGGCUGUCUAUGCCAGUUGGAAGUGUCCUGUUCUCCUGAGCUGUACUUUUCUCAUGGCCACUGAGAAGCAGCCGCCCUGAUCCUCCUCUCCGCCAGAUUAUUAUGGUCUGUGUCUCUGGCCUACGGUUGUGAAGAACUGCCCCUGUCAGUUGUACAUGGUUGUGAUCCGAGCCAAAUAUAAUACUCUGGCAGACAUUAUUCCUACCUCACUAUUGACCAGUGAGAAAAUGGUGUGUGUGUUUCCUUUCCUCGGUCUGUCUGUACUGUGCCUAUACUUGCCUAUACCAACUAUGAUCUACAGGACAUUCCUAGUCGAUCACCAAAUAUUUCUCUCAAACAAUAAAGCCUUGCAUUCCUAUUUUUCAUCUCGUGCUGUUGGCAGUAGGUGUACCCGAUUCAGCUGCCCUGGCGACGUGUUCAAAUUUUGAACCAUUUCAUGUGUCUGAAGCUGCAAACUCUGCCUUCCCAGGGGGGCCCGGAGAACAAAUCAAGUGCAUUAUAGGCCUACCGCUGGCCAAUCGGAUGGCUCAGAUUGCUGGGUCUGCAGUAACGUAGCAGACAUAAAAGAAAGUUACAGCAAGGUUGAUACUGUGAGCUUUUAAAACCCUGACUAGAGAGACGGUCAACAAAUACAGCAAAAUGGUGGUUUUAUGGGGGAGUUCAUGUGUAAGUUCUUACUCAGCAUUGUCAACACUUUGUAUUCCACACUUUUAUAAGCCAUACAAUGCUGGUUCUUCCUGCUUGCGCUACAACAAGCACUGCAGCUGUACAGCCUACCUCAAAUGUUGAAAAUAAAUUAUAUAUAUAUAUAUUUUUUUUUAAUAAGGUCAACAACAAUGUAUUGACAAUUCGAGCAAAGCCAAUAUGCAGUGAUAAUGUAUUGGGCCUAUAGCCUACUGCACAUACCUCAUUGCUACAGUACUGUUUUUAAUUGAUUAAUGUUGCAUAGGAUUAUUCUGACUCAAAGUUUGGUGACCACUGGUCUAACUGUAGGUAUUGGCUGAUGAUGUAUGUACAGCACAGUGGUUAGUAGCUAUAAUGAUGAUUUAUGUACAGCACAGUGGUUAGUAGCUAUAAUGAUGAUGUAUGUACAGCACAGUGGUUAGUAGCUAUAAUGAUGGAUCAUGGUAGGUUGGGGGAUUUCCCACAAGGUAAGUCUUGAACACAGUAGGCCUACUGUUUUUAGUCUGUUUUUCAAUUAGGGUGCCUCCAUACAAAUAGAGCUGCUGAAGGAGUGUGUGUGUGUUUAUGUAUUAGUCUGCACACAUGUUAGGUUGUGUGUGUGUGAUUCACUACUCUGGCAGUCUCUCCUCCCGGCAAUGGAAAGAGUGGAGUGAGGAAAGAGGUAGGGGGAGAUGGGGAGGGGUUGAUGGGACAAGAGGUCAGUUUGGUCCACUCCCAGCCAGCCGUCUGACUCUCUGGCCUCUUUUCCAACUGAGACUCCUCAGUCAGGAGUCUGUUCACUGGGCAUUAACUCUAGCUCCCCUCUGUGUCCCUGGUUGUCUCAAGUGUUUUCCCUGUACUAACUAAAUUGAUGCCACCACACAACAACAACAAAAAAUAAAAAUAUUUCUGCCAAGAUUCACUUUGAAGAUGCUAGAAUUGUCAAAUCAAA